rnacentral:rRNA from 2 species
CGUAAUAGCUCACUGGUCGAGUCGGCCUGCGCGGAAGAUGUAACGGGGCUAAACCAUGCACCGAAGCUGCGGCAGCGACACUCAGGUGUUGUUGGGUAGGGGAGCGUUCUGUAAGCCUGUGAAGGUGGCCUGUGAGGGUUGCUGGAGGUAUCAGAAGUGCGAAUGCUGACAUAAGUAACGAUAAAGCGGGUGAAAAGCCCGCUCGCCGGAAGACCAAGGGUUCCUGUCCAACGUUAAUCGGGGCAGG